rnacentral:rRNA from 1 species
CACAGGUUCGAGCGCAACGCGGCGGUUUCGAAACUUCAGCGAUGAUCCCAAAUAGCGAAGGUGAGUAGUUCGCGGAUCGAUCCCAAAACGAACCAGGGCAGCCCUCUCCCUCCGCUCUACGACGCAGCCUUGUGCGCCGAGGCAGCCCUCAUGGAGAUGGCCUUCUCGGAGCUCCCCUUCCUCGCAGUCGUGAUGCUCUUCUUCGCGGCGCAGGCCCUCCGCGAGCUCCUCCCGUUCGGAUAGGGGUGGCUCGAAGCGUUGCUCCUCGAGCGGGAGGCGGCGCUCUAGCUGGAGCUGCUGGUUCUGGCCCGUCACGGCUCCUCAUAGUAUCUACUGCUCAUGCGGCCGCGGUGCGACGCGCUCGGGUUCUAAGAGAACUGUUGUAGAGCAUUGGGCUCACGCGGGGACUGAGUCAAACAAUUCCUCGACUUUCAACAUAAAGGCUUGAGUGUCUCCUACUUGGCACCACCAGUCCACUAUAGUCUUUAACAACUCAGGACGGCUAGUGUGCUCUAUUGACUAGAAUAAAACCACGUACUCGUAGCACCAGUCGGACUACCAAACUAACACACAGUAGAUGGUAAUCCAGGUUGACGUAUGAAACCCAAUGAGUUACACCAUUGUGCCGUACUAUAGUUUCUAUCCUUCCGGUACCCGUUUUACAGUCUUCGAAUGGGAGUAAACUAUGACCUGUUAAAGUGUUGGUUCUGACCACUUUCCUGACGGUUAUAUUACUUCGUAGAGAAAGGACACGGCUUCGGCCUCAGUUUCGCAGAUUAGUGAAAACGGUUAUCUCUACUGAUAUAGAGAAAGUCCGUAGUGUAGAUACUUUUUGUACCACCGGGGUUUAGGUAACUGGACUUCCUCCAACCCGGGGCAAAACUCAACGCUGAGAUAGUCUAGUUUGCUCCUUGACACCUGGUUUCGCUUCGUGUCUUGCUCAAACACGAUGCCGGUAUGUACUUAUGGCGCUUCUUCGUCUUAAGCGAACCCCAAACUCAACUAAAACUGCACGUGUCGUUAAAACUCAAGACAAAACAUGAACAUCAUAAUAUCGGCCUACGAAAACUACGUAGAUGUCUUAGAACUUUCCCACAAGUUUCGUAUUAACCGCACAACUUUACACUACGAAAAGACUCUCUUACUCCAGUAACCAACCGUAC